UCUAGGGUUUAACUUUAUCUUCCUCAUACUCUUCAGGGGAGGAGAUAUACGAUUCCGCCUCGGUUUGAUCGAAUACAGCCAGAAUUUCCUUGAUGUAGCUUCUGCAUGGGCCUGCUUGACCCAACACUAUGAUGGUGUUAGCCUACACUUUUGUUUGCUGUUUGAGAAAGGUCUCAUGUCCUGCUGUAUGAUUUAAAUUCUCACUUGGAGUGAAAUGGAGGACGAGGAUGUUGACAUUGGUUAUAAUGAGCAACCUAUAUCCCGCAUCUCUCCUGUCAGGACACACAAGGAUAAGGCAGUGGGGAACUCUACUCGUGAGUUUUCUUCAUCUGAUUGUUCCCACUUCUUAUAUGUUCCUUCUUUCACCCUCAGAACCAUCUUACUAGUCUCUUGUCAGAAGUGGUCGACACUCUAAAAUACUUGCUCUUCUUAUUCCACUGCCCUUUUUACUUUCAGUUGAGAGCAACUUACACGCCUAGUUUGAUAGUGAAACCUGUUACAUUCUCCGUUUGUAUUGCUCCCAUAUCGCUGUUUUCUUUCUUCUUUAGUGCUCAUAUUAUUAUUCCUUGUACUUCUCUAACCUCUAUGGUUUUUGGUGCAUGUAACCAAUCAGACGUGAAGAGUGUGCCAAGACUAUUGAGUUCACCAGAGGUAAAUAUCAGUAUGGAUCAUAACUGAUACCUCUGAAAAGGUCGUAGAUACCUUGCCACAGUCUGAUGCUGGCGAACUAUAUUGACUGGGACCACAACAUUAUGAAAACAAUUGUUGUUGUCAUGAUAAUAUAUACUUUAACCAAGUCUUAGAUUGGGUCAGACACCAAUUAUUCUGAUUGGUUGUUUUCUUGUUCCUUUCAUCAGCUGAUACAGGGGCCCUCAAUGCGUGGAAUUGGAGUCGCAUUUGAAUGGAGCGACAAUCAAUUCCCCAAGGAGAAAACAAGCUCCAGCCAGUGGAUUGGGUGAGCUGGAAGAUGCAUCAACGAGAAGCAAACUUGUGUGGAGGGGGAAGAUUGUCGUCGAGAUGGAGGAGUGUGGCAGGAAAAAAUGUAUGUGCUCUAAUGUCUGGGGGUGGCAUCUUACUUCUUGAACCGUUAAUAAUCUAGGGAAUAGUGCUCAUCAGAAUGAGAGGCAAGUACCUCCAGAAAAGCUUCACAGGGCUGCUCUAUUGAAAAAUCAAUAUGCAGAUUUAAUCUUGAAGGCUCGAGAGAGAAGUUAGCUUUGUUUUGUGGAGCUCUGUUCUGGUGACCUUCUAAUGGCAGCAACAAACUCUGUUUCGAACGUUUGAAUUAAUAUAAGUAGUGCUUCAAAAAAAAAAGAAACUAAUUCUUCUGAGACGAAAAUAAGAAGGGAGACCCAGAGAAAAUGAGACGAGAGAGGGAAGAAGUCGAAUUGCAAUAGAAGAAAGAAAAAGCACGGUUACAAGCAGAAGCCAAGGAAGCGGAAGAAGCUAGAAGAAAAGCUGAGGCUGAAGCUGCAAACUGGAACUUGAAAGAGAAGCAGCCCGCAAAGCUUUGCUUGAGUUAAAGAAGAAGCUAGCUAUGAAUGUUGGUUGUUAUGAAAGACGGAAUGAAAUAUUAAUAAUGAUAAUGGGUGAACAACAAACAGAUGGAGAAGUCGGUAGAAAUAAACGAGAACUCAAGGUUUUUCAAGGACUUAGAACUGCUGAAAACAACAACACAAACAAGGGAGCAAACGAGAAUAACAAGAGAGGAGGAGGAUGGGUUAGGGUGUUUUGGGGUUUGGAGGCAGCAAUCCUCUAGAGCAGCUGGGGCUAUUUAUGAAACAUGAGGAUGACGAUGAAGAAGAAACUGAGCCGAUGGUUGCUUUGCCAGAUCAUCUUGGCAUAAAUGAAGAAGUGGAGGAGGGUGAAAUCGAUUGAUUCGGUUGUUGCGCCUUAGUGUGGUGGGUUUGUAACAUGUAUGAUAUAGUUUGGUAGGUAACAAAUUUGAGUCUAAAUUUUGGUUUUAA